rnacentral:rRNA from 1 species
GAUGAACGCUGGCGGCGUGCCUAACACAUGCAAGUCGAGCGAUUCUCUUCGGAGAAGAGCGGCGGACGGGUGAGUAACGCGUGGGUAACCUGCCCUGUACACACGGAUAACAUACCGAAAGGUAUGCUAAUACGAGAUAAUAUGCUUUUAUCGCAUGGUAGAAGUAUCAAAGCUCCGGCGGUACAGGAUGGACCCGCGUCUGAUUAGCUAGUUGGUAAGGUAACGGCUUACCAAGGCGACGAUCAGUAGCCGACCUGAGAGGGUGAUCGGCCACAUUGGAACUGAGACACGGUCCAAACUCCUACGGGAGGCAGCAGUGGGGAAUAUUGCACAAUGGGCGAAAGCCUGAUGCAGCAACGCCGCGUGAGCGAUGAAGGCCUUCGGGUCGUAAAGCUCUGUCCUCAAGGAAGAUAAUGACGGUACUUGAGGAGGAAGACCCCGGCGUAACUACGUG